rnacentral:ncRNA from 1 species
CCAGCAGGUGCCGUCUACAUCUGCCGGCCGUCUGUAAGCGCGCCGCCCGUACCGGCACGGGGCGGCACAGACGAAAGGA